CAGACACCCAUGGGCGACCUGUGGCUGGGGUGGUGGUCAUCUGCAGGGACAAAUUAACAGCAGCCGCAUACAACCACCACGCUACAGUACAGACUGUGAUCCACGAGCUGUUCCACGCACUUGGGUUCUCUAAAGAUCUCUUCCACACCUGGAAAGACUGUUCCUCCUCUCCUCAAGUGGGUGCCAGAUGUUCGCCUCGGGGGAAAGUGAUUCACUCUGAUGGAU